AGAAACACUGAAGGCUCAGAUGUUCUGAUGGUGUAGAAGACUCUGAAGAUCCAGAAGCUGAAUAGUGGAAACUCUGAAGUCCAGAAGCAAGAAACUCUGAAGGCCAUGUUCUUCCCUCUGAGUUCAGAAUCAGAAGAUACAAUGGUCAGAGGAUCUGUGCUUUCCCUCUGACUCUGAUCAACCGGCUUCACAAGUUCCAAUAUGAAGCAUUCCCCUGAUCAGAAGUCUCCUAGGUUCAAAGGUCGCGUCGCUAUCCAAGUACAAAAGCAACUGUACCUUCCUGACGACCUACCUAACGUUCUCAGCCACAGCAGAAGCUGGAUUUUCCAGAA
rnacentral:lncRNA from 1 species